rnacentral:rRNA from 1 species
GGCUUAACACAUGCAAGUCGAACGGUAGCAGGUAAGUACUUGUACUUAUGCUGACGAGUGGCGGACGGGUGAGUAAUGCUUGGGGAUCUGGCUUAUGGAGGGGGAUAACGACGGGAAACUGUCGCUAAUACCGCGUAGAAUCGAGAGAUGAAAGUGUGGGACCUUCGGGCCACAUGCCAUAGGAUGAACCCAAGUGGGAUUAGGUAGUUGGUAGGGUAAUGGCCUACCAAGCCGACGAUCCCUAGCUGGUCUGAGAGGAUGACCAGCCACACCGGGACUGAGACACGGCCCGGACUCCUACGGGAGGCAGCAGUGGGGAAUAUUGCGCAAUGGGGGGAACCCUGACGCAGCCAUGCCGCGUGAAUGAAGAAGGCCUUCGGGUUGUAAAGUUCUUUCGGUGACGAGGAAGGUUGUUGUGUUAAUAGCGCAACAAAUUGAC